AUGCUUAACCUGGAAAAGGAAAUACCAUGAUCAGGAAGGUAGUUUUCCUAGGGUGAAACUUAUCCAUUGCACUUGGGAUUUGCUGAUCCCUGCUAUUUCCCCAAAUGUGGAAAACUCCAUUGUAUAAUUUGUGGUAGUGGGGGACUGAGUGUACAUUCUCUUC
rfam:Erinaceus europaeus unplaced genomic scaffold scaffold00124, whole genome shotgun sequence